GACGGAGGGUGCUAGCGUUGUUCGGAAUCACUGGGCGUAAAGGGCGCGUAGGCGGCCUUGCAAGUCGGUUGGUGAAAGCCCGGGGCUCAACCCCGGAGGUGCGGCCGAGACUGCAGGGCUGGAGGCCGGAAGAGGAGGGUGGAAUACCCAGUGUAGAGGUGAAAUUCGUAGAUAUUGGGAAGAACACCGGUGGCGAAGGCGGCGACCUGGUCCAUUACUGACGCUGAGGCGCGACAGCGUGGGGAGCAAACAGG
rnacentral:rRNA from 1 species